rnacentral:rRNA from 1 species
UAGCCGUAAACGAUACUCGCUAGGUGUCGGCCACGGUGCGACCGUUGUCGGUGCCGUAGGGAAGCCGUGAAGCGAGCCACCUGGGAAGUACGGCCGCAAGGCUGAAACUUAAAGGAUUGGCGGGGGAGCACAACAACGGGUGGAGCUUGCGGUUUAAUUGGAUUCAACGCCGGAAAUCUUACCGGGACCGACAGCAACAUGAAGGCCAAGCUGAAGACUUUGCCGGAUUAGCUGAGAGGAGAUGCAUGGCGUAGUCGUGU